rnacentral:rRNA from 1 species
UACGGGGGGGGCAAGCGUUGUUCGGAAUUACUGGGCGUAAAGGGCUCGUAGGUGGCCAACUAAGUCAGACGUGAAAUCCCUCGGCUUAACCGGGGAACUGCGUCUGAUACUGGAUGGCUUGAGUUUGGGAGAGGGACGCGGAAUUCCAGGUGUAGAGGUGAAAUUCGUAGAUAUCGGGAGGAACACCAGUGGCGAAGGCGGCGACCUGGGCCAAUAUUGACGCUGAGGUGCGAAAGCGUGGGGAGCAAACAGG